rnacentral:rRNA from 1 species
UUGAACGCUGGCGGCAGGCCUAACCCAUGCCAGUCGAACGGUAGCACAGAGGAGCUUGCUUCUUGGGUGACGAGUGGCGGACGGGUGAGUAAUGUCUGGGAAACUGCCCGAUGGAGGGGGAUAACUACUGGAAACGGUAGCUAAUACCGCAUAACGUCGCAAGACAAAAGGGGGGGACCUUCGGGCCUCUGGCCAUCGGAUGUGCCCAGAUGGGAUUAGCUGGUAGGUGGGGUAACGGCUCACCUAGGCGACGAUCCCUAGCUGGUCUGAGAGGAUGACCAGCCACACUGGAACUGAGACACGGUCCAGACUCCUACGGGAGGCAGCAGUGGGGAAUAUUGCACAAUGGGCGCAAGCCUGAUGCAGCCAUGCCGCGUGUAUGAAGAAGGCCUUCGGGUUGUAAAGUACUUUCAGCGGGGAGGAAGGCGACACGGUUAAUAACCGUGGCGAUUGACGUUACCCGCAGAAGAAGCACCGGCUAACUCCGUG